GCUGACACAUCCAGGCCAAUCUCCAGCAGACCCUCCCUCCCAGACCCUCCCACCUCCUGGACAGCAUCCAUGUUGAAGCUGCCUUCAACAUGGAUGCUGUCCAGGAAGUAGGAGGGUCUGGGAGGGAGGGUCUGUUGGAGAUUGGCCGGGAUGUGUCAG
rnacentral:miRNA from 1 species